UGGGGCUGGAGCAGGUCCCAAGGGUUUGGCUGUUCGCCAAUUAAAGUGGUACGUGAGCUGGGUUUAAAACGUCGUGAGACAGUUUGGUCCCUAUCUUUCGUGGGCGCAGGAUAUUUGAGAGGAUCUGUUCCUAGUACGAGAGGACCGGAAUGGACGAACCAAUGGUGUUCCAGUUGUCGCGCCAGUGGCAUUGCUGGGUAGCUAAGUUCGGAAUGGAUAACCGCUGAAAGCAUCUAAGCGGGAAGCCAACCUUGAGAUUAGAUAUCCCUCUGUAUGGAGACAUAUAGACUGAAGACCCCUUGAAGACUACAAGGUUGAUAGGCCAGGUGUGUAAGUCCGGUAACGGAUUUAGCUAACUGGUACUAAUAGGUCGUGAGGCUUAGUCACAAAAC
rnacentral:rRNA from 1 species